rnacentral:rRNA from 1 species
GGGUUGUGAGGUUAAGCGACUAAGCGUACACGGUGGAUGCCCUGGCAGUCAGAGGCGAUGAAGGACGUGCUAAUCUGCGAUAAGCGUCGGUGAGGUGAUAUGAACCGUUAUAACCGGCGAUUUCCGAAUGGGGAAACCCAGUGUGUUUCGACACACUAUCAUUAACUGAAUCCAUAGGUUAAUGAGGCGAACCGGGGGAACUGAAACAUCUAAGUACCCCGAGGAAAAGAAAUCAACCGAGAUUCCCCCAGUAGCGGCGAGCGAACGGGGAGGAGCCCAGAGCCUGAAUCAGUGUGUGUGUUAGUGGAAGCGUCUGGAAAGGCGCGCGAUACAGGGUGACAGCCCCGUACACAAAAAUGCACAUAUUGUGAGCUCGAUGAGUAGGGCGGGACACGUGGUAUCCUGUCUGAAUAUGGGGGGACCAUCCUCCAAGGCUAAAUACUCCUGACUGACCGAUAGUGAACCAGUACCGUGAGGGAAAGGCGAAAAGAACCCCGGCGAGGGGAGUGAAAAAGAACCUGAAACCGUGUACGUACAAGCAGUGGGAGCCUCUUAAUGGGGUGACUGCGUACCUUUUGUAUAAUGGGUCAGCGACUUAUAUUCUGUAGCAAGGUUAACCGAAUAGGGGAGCCGAAGGGAAACCGAGUCUUAACUGGGCGUUAAGUUGCAGGGUAUAGACCCGAAACCCGGUGAUCUAGCCAUGGGCAGGUUGAAGGUUGGGUAACACUAACUGGAGGACCGAACCGACUAAUGUUGAAAAAUUAGCGGAUGACUUGUGGCUGGGGGUGAAAGGCCAAUCAAACCGGGAGAUAGCUGGUUCUCCCCGAAAGCUAUUUAGGUAGCGCCUCGUGAAUUCAUCUCCGGGGGUAGAGCACUGUUUCGGCAAGGGGGUCAUCCCGACUUACCAACCCGAUGCAAACUGCGAAUACCGGAGAAUGUUAUCACGGGAGACACACGGCGGGUGCUAACGUCCGUCGUGAAGAGGGAAACAACCCAGACCGCCAGCUAAGGUCCCAAAGUCAUGGUUAAGUGGGAAACGAUGUGGGAAGGCCCAGACAGCCAGGAUGUUGGCUUAGAAGCAGCCAUCAUUUAAAGAAAGCGUAAUAGCUCACUGGUCGAGUCGGCCUGCGCGGAAGAUGUAACGGGGCUAAAUCAUGCACCGAAGCUGCGGCAGCGACACUAUGUGUUGUUGGGUAGGGGAGCGUUCUGUAAGCCUGUGAAGGUGUGCUGUGAGGCAUGCUGGAGGUAUCAGAAGUGCGAAUGCUGACAUAAGUAACGAUAAAGCGGGUGAAAAGCCCGCUCGCCGGAAGACCAAGGGUUCCUGUCCAACGUUAAUCGGGGCAGGGUGAGUCGACCCCUAAGGCGAGGCCGAAAGGCGUAGUCGAUGGGAAACAGGUUAAUAUUCCUGUACUUGGUGUUACUGCGAAGGGGGGACGGAGAAGGCUAUGUUGGCCGGGCGACGGUUGUCCCGGUUUAAGCGUGUAGGCUGGUUUUCCAGGCAAAUCCGGAAAACCAAGGCUGAGGCGUGAUGACGAGGCACUACGGUGCUGAAGCGACAAAUGCCCUGCUUCCAGGAAAAGCCUCUAAGCAUCAGGUAACAUCAAAUCGUACCCCAAACCGACACAGGUGGUCAGGUAGAGAAUACCAAGGCGCUUGAGAGAACUCGGGUGAAGGAACUAGGCAAAAUGGUGCCGUAACUUCGGGAGAAGGCACGCUGAUAUGUAGGUGAAGCGACUUGCUCGUGGAGCUGAAAUCAGUCGAAGAUACCAGCUGGCUGCAACUGUUUAUUAAAAACACAGCACUGUGCAAACACGAAAGUGGACGUAUACGGUGUGACGCCUGCCCGGUGCCGGAAGGUUAAUUGAUGGGGUUAGCGGUAACGCGAAGCUCUUGAUCGAAGCCCCGGUAAACGGCGGCCGUAACUAUAACGGUCCUAAGGUAGCGAAAUUCCUUGUCGGGUAAGUUCCGACCUGCACGAAUGGCGUAAUGAUGGCCAGGCUGUCUCCACCCGAGACUCAGUGAAAUUGAACUCGCUGUGAAGAUGCAGUGUACCCGCGGCAAGACGGAAAGACCCCGUGAACCUUUACUAUAGCUUGACACUGAACAUUGAGCCUUGAUGUGUAGGAUAGGUGGGAGGCUUUGAAGUGUGGACGCCAGUCUGCAUGGAGCCGACCUUGAAAUACCACCCUUUAAUGUUUGAUGUUCUAACGUGGGCCCCUAAUCGGGGUUGCGGACAGUGUCUGGUGGGUAGUUUGACUGGGGCGGUCUCCUCCUAAAGAGUAACGGAGGAGCACGAAGGUUGGCUAAUCCUGGUCGGACAUCAGGAGGUUAGUGCAAUGGCAUAAGCCAGCUUGACUGCGAGCGUGACGGCGCGAGCAGGUGCGAAAGCAGGUCAUAGUGAUCCGGUGGUUCUGAAUGGAAGGGCCAUCGCUCAACGGAUAAAAGGUACUCCGGGGAUAACAGGCUGAUACCGCCCAAGAGUUCAUAUCGACGGCGGUGUUUGGCACCUCGAUGUCGGCUCAUCACAUCCUGGGGCUGAAGUAGGUCCCAAGGGUAUGGCUGUUCGCCAUUUAAAGUGGUACGCGAGCUGGGUUUAGAACGUCGUGAGACAGUUCGGUCCCUAUCUGCCGUGGGCGCUGGAGAACUGAGGGGGGCUGCUCCUAGUACGAGAGGACCGGAGUGGACGCAUCACUGGUGUUCGGGUUGUCAUGCCAAUGGCACUGCCCGGUAGCUAAAUGCGGAAGAGAUAAGUGCUGAAAGCAUCUAAGCACGAAACUUGCCCCGAGAUGAGUUCUCCCUGAGACUUAGAGUCUCCUGAAGGAACGUUGAAGACGACGACGUUGAUAGGCCGGGUGUGUAAGCGCAGCGAUGCGUUGAGCUAACCGGUACUAAUGAACCGUGAGGCUUAACCUUACAACGCCGAAG